GCCCCUGUAGCUCAAUGGUAGGGCGUCACUUUCCUACUCGUCACGUGAUGCACGCGAACGCAUUGAGCGACAAUGGAAUAGGUGAAGAUUGCGGGUUCGAGUCCCGUCAGAGGUA